rnacentral:lncRNA from 1 species
CAGCAGUGAGACAGCGAAGGCAGCCUCAGAAGUUAAGUAUUCUGAGAAGAGAAGCUCCUACAUGGGGUGAGCAUCCAAAUGCUUGGCCUCGGCUCUGUGCCUCUGGAUGCAGGAUGAAAGGAAGCACCUAUUUCUGACAAACUCCUGAUUUAUUGAGAGGAGAAAUGAGAGUUCACAACUCACUCAGAAUCCUGCUAUCCAAGACAGGGACCCCA